UACGUAGGGUGCGAGCGUUGUCCGGAAUUAUUGGGCGUAAAGGGCUCGUAGGCGGCUUGUCGCGUCGGGAGUGAAAACUCAGGGCUUAACCCUGAGCCUGCUUCCGAUACGGGCAGACUAGAGGUAUGCAGGGGAGAACGGAAUUCCUGGUGUAGCGGUGAAAUGCGCAGAUAUCAGGAGGAACACCGGUGGCGAAGGCGGUUCUCUGGGCAUUACCUGACGCUGAGGAGCGAAAGUGUGGGGAGCGAACAGG
rnacentral:rRNA from 1 species